rnacentral:misc_RNA from 1 species
GAUGAAGAACGUAGCGAAAUGCGAUAAGUAAUGUGAAUUGCAGAAUUCAGUGAAUCAUCGAAUCUUUGAACGCACAUUGCGCCUCCUGGUAUUCCGGGGGGCAUGCCUGUCCGAGCGUCAUUACAACCCUCAAGCUCAGCUUGGUGUUGGGCCCCGCCGCCCCGGCGGGCCCUAAAGUCAGUGGCGGUGCCGUCCGGCUCCGAGCGUAGUAAUUCUUCUCGCUCUGGAGGUCCGGUCGUGUGCUCGCCAGCAACCCCCAAUUUUUUUCAGGUUGACCUCGGAUCAGGUAGGGAUACCCGCUGAACUUAAGCAUAUCAAUAGCGGAGGA